AUCUAAUGGCUGAUGGGUGGAGCUUAGGUGGGAACAGAAGGAAAAUGUUAUGAAAGUCGUGGGUGAGCCUGUACUGUGUGCUUAGUAAGGGGGAACUGGGCUUCUACAAGGACUCCAAGGGCCCGGCAUCUGGGAGCACACACGGUGGGGAACCGCUGCUCAGCCUGCACAAGGCCACCAGUGAGGUGGCUAGUGACUACAAGAAAAAGAAGCAUGUCUUCAAGCUCCAGACCCAGGAUGGCAGUGAGUUUUUGCUCCAGGCAAAAGAUGAGGAGGAGAUGAACGGCUGGCUGGAGGCUGUGGCUUCCUCCGUGGCGGAACACGCAGAGAUGGCCCGCUGGGGCCAGACACUACCCACUACUUCAUCCACAGAUGAGGGCAACCCUAAGAGGGAAGGCGGAGAUCGCAGGGCCAGUGGGCGCAGGAAGUGACUUCCCACCCCCAGGACCUGACACAUGUCGUCUCCCCUCUUUUCCGCACUGUGGGCACAAAGACACUUUUUCUUCCGCAGGGGCGGGAGCCCCU
rnacentral:sRNA from 1 species